UACGGGGGGGGCAAGCGUUGUUCGGAAUUACUGGGCGUAAAGGGCUCGUAGGCGGCCAACUAAGUCCGACGUGAAAUCCCCAGGCUUAACCUGGGAACUGCGUCGGAUACUGGAUGGCUUGAAUCCGGGAGAGGGAUGCGGAAUUCCAGGUGUAGCGGUGAAAUGCGUAGAUAUCUGGAGGAACACCGGUGGCGAAGGCGGCAUCCUGGACCGGCAUUGACGCUAAAGCGCGAAAGCCAGGGGAGCAAACGGG
rnacentral:rRNA from 1 species